rnacentral:miRNA from 1 species
CCAUCGGAGUUAUUUCACAAC